GAUGAACGCUAGCGGCAGGCUUAAUACAUGCAAGUCGAGGGGUAGCAAGAUUGUAGCAAUACAAUUGUUGACGACCGGCAAACGGGUGCGGAACACGUACACAACCUUCCUACAAGUGGGGAAUAGCCCAGAGAAAUUUGGAUUAAUACCCCGUAACAUAGCGAUGUGGCAUCACAUUGCUAUUAUAGCUUCGGCGCUUGUUGAUGGGCGUGCGGCUGAUUAGAUAGUUGGCGGGGUAACGGCCCACCAAGGCUACGAUCAGUAGCCGAUGUGAGAGCAUGAUCAGCCACACGGGCACUGAGACACGGGCCCGACUCCUACGGGAGGCAGCAGUAAGGAAUAUUGGACAAUGGACGCAAGUCUGAUCCAGCCAUGCCGCGUGAAGGAUUAAGGUCCUCUGGAUUGUAAACUUCUUUUAUAAGGGACGAAAAAAGGUCUUUCUAGAUCGUCUGACGGUACCUUAUGAAUAAGCACCGGCUAACUCCGUGCCAGCCGCCGCAGUAACAC
rnacentral:rRNA from 1 species